GAACUGAAGAGUUUGAUCAUGGCUCAGAUUGAACGCUGGCGGCAGGCCUAACACAUGCAAGUCGAGCGGAUGAAGGGAGCUUGCUCCUGGAUUCAGCGGCGGACGGGUGAGUAAUGCCUAGGAAUCUGCCUGGUAGUGGGGGAUAACGUCCGGAAACGGGCGCUAAUACCGCAUACGUCCUGAGGGAGAAAGUGGGGGAUCUUCGGACCUCACGCUAUCAGAUGAGCCUAGGUCGGAUUAGCUAGUUGGUGGGGUAAAGGCCUACCAAGGCGACGAUCCGUAACUGGUCUGAGAGGAUGAUCAGCCACACUGGAACUGAGACACGGUCCAGACUCCUACGGGAGGCAGCAGUGGGGAAUAUUGCACAAUGGGCGCAAGCCUGAUGCAGCCAUGCCGCGUG
rnacentral:rRNA from 1 species